CGAAACCCAUGGUCGCGCGCACACACACCGGUUGCUGCUGGUGCCGAGCGGAGACGUGUAAUAAAGUCUCGAAAUGGUCAAUUAAAAAGCGAAAAAAUUAUACGAAUAUAAUGAUAAUACAACGAAUAUAUAUUAUACGACCGUGCGAGCGCACACACUUACACACACACUCACGUGGGGACAAAAAUAAUUAUUAUGUUGGUCAUGCAAGCUGCGGUGUGUCUAAUUACUCUGUUUGACCAAAGACUACGUUCACGAAAAAAAAAGUUUACGAUUCGUGACACGGUCAGUGAUUAUAUGCCAUCGUACGGGUCACUCGUGGAUAAUUGUAUCUUUAGAAUAGCAGCAUUAGCAGUGUAAAUUUAUAAUUUUGAUAAUAAUAACAAUGUAAUAAACUAAUUCCACGCGCCCAUUGAAAUGGAUAUCGUUUAUUGAAUUAUUUUCGGCUUGCACUGGCAUAAAAAUAAUUAUUAUACACCACUCCACCGCCGACACACCGAAGAAUGAACGGGUUAGCCGCUGAAAUCGUAAUAAUCGUUGUCGUCAUACCUACUAGGUAUUUAGUUUCCGGUCGCGCGUGCUAUCAAUCACCAGGGCGGCAGCUGCCAAUGCACCGACGUCGCAGCGGCGAUACGACCGCGACACCGGAAAAACUGUGAAAAAUCCAAUCACGACAAUAAAACGACCCGUGAAAUCGCGCACGAAACAGACCGGACACGGCGAGUGGCACACUUCGUUUGACACCGAAAACGAUAUAAUAACACAACAACAAUAAUAAUAAUAAUAAUAAUACGGCUAAUAACGAUAAUAACAAGUUACACGCACAUCUAUAGCCUUCUAUUCAGUUGAAAUAAUUUUUAACCAUCCGAAACACUGUGCAGUCUCAGCUAUUUCUUAUCAUCGCAAUAAAAUAUAAUAUAAAUAAUGCAGUAUGAAAUCGUGUUUGGUACACAUAUUUUUCCUCCGUUGUACCUAUUAUACGAUCUACCUUUUAUUGUUAUUAUUAUUAUUAUUAUUGUUUCGUCCUCUUCCGUGUCAUGUCCGGCAUCACUGCUACAGAUAAUCAAGAGUUUUGAAAUGUAUGGUAUUAUUAUUAAUUUUUGUUUAUUAGGUAUAGUUAUUACAAACAUGUUAUAAAAUAUUUUACAAUCAUUUUUAUAAAUAGAAGAUAUUCUA